UGUGGCAUCACAGCUCACAGAAAGUGCCAGAUCUCUGAUCUCGGAAGCUUAGCAGGGUCAGGCCUGGUUAGUACUUGGAUGGGAGGGCAGGCUGAUUUUGUGA
rnacentral:rRNA from 1 species